AUGAAUGCUGGGGUCGGGAAGAUGGCAGAAAGAAGCUUCAUUGGCGUUUGUGGGAUUGGCUCUCAGUCCCUAAGACUUUCGGUGGCAUGGGCUUCCAGGAUAUGGUUCUUUUUAAUCAAGCCAUGCUUGCCAAGCAGGGUUGGAAUCUUCUCACUGCUUCGGAUACUCUUUGCACUUGUGUGCUCAAGGGCCGGUAUUUUCCCUCAGGGUGAUUUUUGGAAUGCCGCGGCACCGAGGUCUGCUUCGUACACUUGGAGGAGUAUUCUAUUUGGCCGAGACUUGCUAAAACAAGGUAUGCUAUGGAAUGUUGGUGAUGGUAGGAGCAUUCACAUCAUGUCUGAUCGGUGGAUGAUCUUGGGUCGUGGAAUGAAGAAACUGUUCGAGCGUUUUUCCAUCCACUUCAGUCAGGACGGAGGCGGUGAUGUGGUCUGCUGGCCUUUCACUAAGUUUGGUGAAUAUUCCGUACGGUCGGGAUACAAUCUUGCUCGGUCAACUAAGGCGAGUUCGGUUACCUGCAUCGAGGCCAACCAGGUCCGUGUGGUGCAGCAUCUUUUCAGACCUCGGUUGUUUGAUUUUCCGCAUACACUGUUCAGCCUGCAUAGCACAGUUCUUAAAGCACUCCUGGGCCUGACUCGUUGGGAACGGCCGAAUCGGCAGUUUCCCGAGAGCCAGGCUCGAGCGAUGCUUCGAGGCGCAUGUGGAUGGCUCUAUGGAGACGUGUGUCCCGAGUUAAUCCCUCUUUCUCCCCCUAAUCCUCAAUCCCCGCUUUCUCUCCCUCUGCUUCCGUCGAUCCCGUCGGCCGCGGCACCGCCGCCGUCCGUGGAGUCGUCGGCGCUGUCGAUCAAGAAGCGCCUUCUUCCAGCGGUGGCCCCGGCCACUUCUCCGCCGGUGUGGCCGUCGACCGCCGGUGUCCCCAGGCUUCCCGCGAGCCCAGGCUCGCCGCCGACCGUGGCGCUCCGGUCCAAGAAGCAGGGGCACUCGACCAGGAUGCGCGCAGGCAUGUCCUCGGCCGCCUUGACGCUCCGCGUCGGGAUGACCACCCUGGCACCCCGCUUGGCCAGCACCCAUGCCGUCUCCGCCCCAAUGCCCGACGUGGCACCCGUGAUGAUGGCGGUGAGCGAGCCGAUGUCCGGGCAGGCGGCCGUGACCUCCUCGGCGGUGGACUUGGAGCUGAACCGGCUGGCUCCCGCGGAGCCCAGGAGCUUCCCAGAGAAGAGAGCUACUUCUUCUUCCCUUCUCAAUCUGCUGCUACUACUUUUCUUCUUGCCCAACAUCUUGCUGCUGAAUCUCUUUCUCCCCUGUUGUUCGCUGCUGCUCUUCUUCUUCCCUUACCUCUACUGCUGCUCUUCUUCCUCAUUGCCAACCUGUUACUGCACCUUCUUCUUCAUGCUCCUGCUGCUGCUUAAAGCGUGGCUAUGGACGGAGGCAACCAAUCAAGUUGACAUCUACGUUUUUGGCCUCGUUUUCCCUCAUCAAGGCCUGGCUGGCUCGUUUUCUCUCUCUGAGCCAGGCCCAGCAACAAAAGUAACCAAACACGCCCUUAGCUUCAUUGUCUCCCAAAGCUGCAAUGGUUAUGGCCAAUCCUCAAAUAGCCUUUCAGAUGAAAAGAACUGGAAGGCCAUCUGGUCCGUCAUUGCUCCUAACAAGAUGAAGGUUGUCCUUUGGCGUUUGGCACAUGAUUGUGUCCAUCUUCUCCGACGACAGGUACCAACUACUGAUGCCUGUUGUUUCUGUGAGCGGACGAAGAGCAUUGAACAUUGUAUGCUAUUUUGUCCUUAUGCUUGUGCUGUAUGGGAAGAAGUAAAGCUUUCUUAUGACUUGACGCUGAGUCGGUCCAAAUUCCUCUCUCCCCGGCAGUGGUUGUUUGAUUUCCUACAUCGUUCCUCUAAUCGUGCAACCACAGUGUUGACUGUCACUUUAUGGCACAUCUGGGACACCCGUAAUGAUGCUCGAAAUGGCAUUGCUGCUCCCCAUCCUCGAUGUAUUGCUAUGAAGAUCAAAGCAUAUGUGGAGCUCAUUUUCUUGCAUUUAUUCAAACCUGCACCUGAGUCUAGUCAUGAAGCAAGGGCUUCUCCUACUCUAAUGUUUCCGCCGCCUCUAGGUACGAGCAAGGCUGGAGCCGGCGUGGUGGCUCUCGAUCACGGUGGGCGUUGUGUCGUUGCCUAUUGUGAGUUCUUCCAAGGGGAGCUCGUACCUGAACUGGCUGAAGCGAAGGCGCUUCACCGGGCGGUCUUCCUGGCUCGGGAGGUGAAUUUCCACAAGGUCAUCUUCGCUUCCAAUUGUUUGUCGCUGAUCCAACACCUCCACUCUUCUUCUUGCGAUAGAUCUUCGGUCGGAUCGGUGGUGGCUGACAUCAAGCUUCCUUCCAACGUUUUCUCUUCGGAACUUUUCAUAUUUGUGCGUCGGCAUCGCAAUGAUGUGGCGCAUUGUUUGGCCAAGGCUUCUGUGAAUUUUAGUAAUCUAUGUGUUUUUCGUUCUCCUCUGGAAUCUCCUAACCCGGCUGGUGAGACCCGGCAGGCCCAUUUUGGCUUUGACCCUAGUCUAGAGGCUAUCAUGAUACAAGAGAUUCACCCUAGGGAGGAGAGAUUGGUUGAUCCUAUGUAUUUUGAGCUCUUGGCACACUCUGACACUGCACCCAACAUUCAGUUACCAGUUAUUCCUUUGCUUCAGUCAGUAACUGUAGAAAAUGCAACUAGCAGCAGGCAGAAGGCAGUUAUAUCUGAUAAUAAGUUUGAUUGGGUGAAAAAGUUCAUCACACCCUCUGUUUGGGAGAUCAUCACUCAUGGAGCAGCAUCAACUAUCACUCUCCCAUUUGUAGUACCUGAGACUUGCCCAAAUGAGACAUCUCUUGAAUACAAUGCUUCUACUGAAGUGAUGUCUGCAUCAUCCACAUCUGCUCUCCACAACAACAAGAAAAGGAAAGAGAAAGUGCCUAUGGUUGAAACGGAGGUAAGGAGGAGUUGUAGACUCCAAAAAUUAUCUAAAGGAUUUAAGAAAGUUGUCUGUAGAGACAAGGAAUGUCUGGCAUGUCAUUCUAUUCCACCUCAUAUUCAUGCAAAGAUCAUUAAAAGCUUGAACACAUCUUUCUGCAAGGUAUCUGAGAGGGACACCAUUGAAGCAUUGAUCGACAAGAAAGCUAAGAAGACAAAAGGGGGAAACCCUAGGAUGGAAGCCAGUAAGGGGAGCAAGGAGCAGAGAAAUAAGUGGAUUUAA
rnacentral:rRNA from 1 species